GACGAACGCUGGCGGCGUGCUUAACACGUGCAAGUCGAACGGAAAGGCCCUGCUUGCAGGGUACUCGAGUGGCGAACGGGUGAGUAACACGUGGGUGAUCUGCCCUGCACUUCGGGAUAAGCCUGGGAAACUGGGUCUAAUACCGGAUAGGAGCCAUUUUUAGUGUGAUGGUUGGAAAGUUUUUUCGGUGUAGGAUGAGCUCGCGGCCUAUCAGCUUGUUGGUGGGGUAAUGGCCUACCAAGGCGGCGACGGGUAGCCGGCCUGAGAGGGUGGACGGCCACAUUGGGACUGAGAUACGGCCCAGACUCCUACGGGAGGCAGCAGUGGGGAAUAUUGCACAAUGGGCGCAAGCCUGAUGCAGCGACGCCGCGUGGGGGAUGACGGCCUUCGGGUUGUAAACUCCUUUCGCUAGGGACGAAGCUUUUUGUGACGGUACCUAGAUAAGAAGCACCGGCUAACUACGU
rnacentral:rRNA from 1 species